rnacentral:rRNA from 1 species
UCGAUUAGCUAGUUGGUGUGGUAACGGCACACCAAGGCUACGAUCAGUAACUGGUCUGAGAGGAUGAUCAGUCACACUGGAACUGAGACACGGUCCAGACUCCUACGGGAGGCAGCAGUGAGGAAUAUUGGGCAAUGCUCGAAAGAGUGACCCAGCAACGCCGCGUGGAGGAUGAAGGUAUUCUAUAUCGUAAACUCCUGUGAGAGCAGACGAAAGACAGAUUAUUAAUCUGGAUGACUGUAUGCUCGGAGGAAGCCCCGGCUAACUACGUG